rnacentral:rRNA from 1 species
UACGUAGGGGGCAAGCGUUGUCCGGAUUUAUUGGGCGUAAAGAGCGUGUAGGCGGCCAGACAGGUCCGUUGUGAAAACUCGAGGCUCAACCUCGAGAUGUCGAUGGAAACCGUCUGGCUAGAGUCCGGAAGAGGAGUGUGGAAUUCCUGGUGUAGCGGUGAAAUGCGCAGAUAUCGGGAAGAACACCUAUGGCGAAGGCAGCACUCUGGGACGGUACUGACGCUGAGACGCGAAAGCGUGGGGAGCGAACAGG